rnacentral:rRNA from 1 species
GGCGAACGCUGGCGGCGUGCCUAAUACAUGCAAGUCGAGCGGACGGAUGGGAGCUUGCUCCCAGACCGUCAGCGGCGGACGGGGGAGUAACCCGUGGGCAACCUUCCUGUAAGACUGGGAUAACUCCGGGAAACCGGGGCUAAUACCGGAUAACUCUUUCCCUCACCUGAGGGAAAGCUGAAAAGUGGCAUUUCGCUAUCACUUUCAGUUGGGCCCGCGGCGCAUUAGCUAGUUGGUGAGGUAACGGCUCACCAAGGCGACGAUGCGUAGCCGACCUGAGAGGGUGAUCGGCCACACUGGAACUGAGACACGGCCCAGACUCCUACGGGAGGCAGCAGUAGGGAAUCUUCCGCAAUGGGCGAAAGUCUGACGGAGCAACGCCGCGUGAGUGAUGAAGGUCUUCGGAUCGUAAAACUCUGUUGUCAGGGAAGAACAAGUACCGGAGUAACUGCCGGUACCUUGACGGUACCUGACCAGAAAGCCACGGCUAACUACGUG